rnacentral:sRNA from 1 species
UGUCCGAGACGCGGCUUACCUCCUCCCGAGCCAGCGUCUACGUGGCGGCAUCCUCCCGCCGCCACGCGUCAUAAAGGGCGCCUGCCGGAUAUCCUCCCUCGGCAGGCGCCUUCU